rnacentral:rRNA from 1 species
AUUGAACGCUGGCGGUAGGCCUAACACAUGCAAGUCGAACGCGAAAGUCCUUCGGGAUGAGUAGAGUGGCGGACGGGUGAGUAACGCGUAGGAAUCUAUCCUGUAGUGGGGGAUAACGUUUCGAAAGGAACGCUAAUACCGCAUACGCCCCACGGGGGAAAGCGGGGGAUCUUCGGCCCUCGUGCUAUAGGAGGAGCCUGCGUCGGAUUAGCUAGUUGGUGAGGUAAAGGCCCACCAAGGCGACGAUCCGUAGCUGGUCUGAGAGGAUGAUCAGCCACACCGGAACUGAGACACGGUCCGGACUCCUACGGAAGGCAGCAGUGGGGAAUAUUGCGCAAUGGGCGAAAGCCUGACGCAGCCAUACCGCGUGUGUGAAGAAGGCCUUCGGGUUGUAAAGCACGUUCAGUGGGGAGGAAAAGCUGGUGGCUAAUAUCCACCGGCCGUGACGCUACCCACAGAAGAAGCACCGGCUAAUUCCGUGCCAGCAGCCGCGGUAA